GAGUUUGAUCCUGGCUCAGGAUGAACGCUGGCGGCGUGCUUAACACAUGCAAGUCGAACGAUUAAGACGGCUUCGGCCGUGUAUAGAGUGGCGAACGGGUGAGUAACACGUGACCAACCUGCCCCGCGCUCCGGGACAACCGCUGGAAACGGCGGCUAAUACCGGAUGCUCCGGGGAGGCCCCAUGGCCUCCCCGGGAAAGCCCUGACGGCGCGGGAUGGGGUCGCGGCCCAUUAGGUAGACGGCGGGGUAACGGCCCACCGUGCCCGCGAUGGGUAGCCGGACUGAGAGGUCGACCGGCCACAUUGGGACUGAGAUACGGCCCAGACUCCUACGGGAGGCAGCAGUGGGGAAUUUUGCGCAAUGGGGGGAACCCUGACGCAGCAACGCCGCGUGCGGGACGAAGGCCUUCGGGUUGUAAACCGCUUUCAGCAGGGAAGACAUAGACGGUACCUGCAGAAGAAGCUCCGGCUAACUACGUGCCAGCCGCCGCGGUAAUUC
rnacentral:rRNA from 1 species